rnacentral:tRNA from 1 species
CUAAGGAAAAAACGGAAGCCAUUGAGUUUGUCUUGUUUAGUUUUGAGAGGUCUUGUGGGGCCUUAGCUCAGCUGGGAGAGCGCCUGCUUUGCACGCAGGAGGUCAGCGGUUCGAUCCCGCUAGGCUCCAUUAGGAUAGAAUCCUACUGAACUUAAUAAAGAAGUGAAGUUGCAUAUGAGACUAACUUCUUAGGAAAAAAAGAUAAACUUCCUUGUGUUCGACGAACACAACGUCAGUUUUCUAUUUUUCUACAGAAGUUUUCGCAAGCGAACCGUCUCUUAAUAUCCUAAAAUUAGCACAUUGAAAAUUGAAUAACGAUAUCAAAUAGUAACAAGAAAAUAAACCGAAAACGCUGUGAAUAUUAAUGAGUAUAUGACUGAGAGGUCAAAGAUAA